rnacentral:lncRNA from 1 species
CCCCUAUGUCUUGUUAAAAUGAUUUAUUUCAUAGCUAAAUAACCGUAACUCGGAAUUUAAUAAACUUUAUAUGUAAAUGGGGUAGAAUUUUGCCUAGUUUAACAUGGUGGCUUCACUUUGCACGCUUAACAACUCAAAAAUUAUGUUUAGGGCAGAACAGUACCAAAUCUAUAAUAUGCUCAUGAGGAGUUUCCGGAAUUGUUGUUCGUUGCUUCCGGCCUCAUUUAACCUUGACUAGAUAGGUAGUUUUCAUUUGCUUCACCUCUUGCAAUGCUAACAACAUUUAAUCUUGUUGGGUACAUAAACGAGAUCGAACUAAAUAAGUCAUGUGGUGUCUCAUCAAUAUGCAACGGAGUUGCAUAUUGUGCUCCACUUAAUUUGUAGGGUUGCUUGUGCACUUUGCCAUGCCAUGUAUCAUUAAACCGGACAUGCAUCAUACUUGGUUGCGCACCGUGCCAUGUUCAUGUCGUGGUUGUUUACUAUGUUGUGUGCUUCUUUUCCGGUGAUUGCUUCUUCGGGUUGGUUCCGGUAACGUCGUGUUGUGAGGAUUCAUCCGACUACGUCCGUUUGUCUUCUUCAUGGACUCGUUCUUCUUCCUUGCGGGAUUUCAGGCAAGAUGAUCAUACCCUCAAAAUCACUACUAUCUUUGCUAUGCUAGUUUUGCUCGCUCUUUUGCUAUGCCAAUGCUAUGAUGCCUACCAUUUGCUUGUCAGCCUCCCAAAUUGCCAUGUUAAACCUCUAACCCACCUUGUCCUAGCAAACCGUUGAUUGGCUAUGUUACCACUUUCCUCAGCCCCUCUUAUAGCGUUGUUAGUUGCAGGUGAAGAUUGAAGUUUGUUCCUUGUUGGAACAUGGAGAUGUUGUUCCUUGUUGGAACAUGUUUACUUGUUGGGAUAUCACAAUAUAUCUUAUUUAAUUAAUGCAUCUAUAUACUUGGUAAAGGGUGGAAGGCUCGGCCUUAUGCCUGGUGUUUUGUUCCACUCUUGCCGCCCUAGUUUCCGUCAUAUCGGUGUUAUGUUCCCGGAUUGUUGCGUUCCUUACGCGGUUGGGUUAUAAUGGGAACCCCUUGAUAGUUUGCCUUGAUUAAAACUUUUCCAGCAAUGCCCAACCUUGGUUUUACCAUUUGCCACCUAGCCUUUUCUUUCCCUUGGGUUCUGCAGACUCAAGGGUCAUCUUAUUUUAACCCCCACCCCCCCCCGGGCCAGUGCUCCUCUGAGUGUUGGUCCAAACCAUCAGCCGCCGAUGGCUACCAGGGGCAACUCUGGGCUGGCCUACCAAAAGUUUAGACAAUCUGAGUGUGCCCUAAGAAAGAGAUAUGUGCAGCUCCUAUCGGGAUUUGUCGGCACAUUCGGGCGGUGUUGCUGGUCUUGUUUUAACCUGUCGAAGUGUCUUGAAUUAUCGAGAUACCGAGUCUGAUCGGAAUGUCUUGGGAGGAGGUCUAUUCCUUCGUUGACCGUGAGAGCUUGUCAUGGGCUAAGUUGGGACUCCCCUGCAGGGAUUGAACUUUUGAAAGCCGUGCCCGCGGUUAUGGGCAGAUGGGAAUUUGGUAAUGUCCGGUUGUACAUAACUUGAACCUUAAUUAAUUAAAAUGAAUCAACUGAGUGUGUUACCGUGAUGGCCUCUUCUCGGUGGAGUCCGGGAAGUGGACACGGUGUUGGAGUAAUGCUUGCGCAGGUUGUUCUCUAGUUUCUCGCUCGUGCUUUGCCUCCUCUUCUCGCCCUCCUUUGCGAAUAAGUUAGCCACCAUAUUUGCUAGUCGCUUGCUGCAGCUCCACUUAUAUUUUACCUUGCCUCACCUAUGAGCUUAAAUAGUCUUGAUCGCGAGGGUGCAAGAUUGCUGAGUCCCUGUGGCUCACAGAUUACUAUUACACCAGAUGCAGGGCCUGAUGAUUCCGCUCCAGGAGACGCGUAUGAGCUCAAGUGGGAGUUCGACGAAGACUAUCAAUGAUACUACGUUUCCUUUCCUGAUGAUCAGUAGUGGUGCCCAGUUGGGGGUGAUUGGGACCGUGUCGCAUGUUGGAUUCUCUUUUAUUUUUGGUGCCGUAGUCGGGCCAUGAGUGUUUGGAUGAUGUAAUGUUAUUUAUGUUCUUGAUUGACGUGGCGAGUGUAAGCCAACUAUGUUCUCCCCUUUAUUAUUCAUAUUACAUGGAAUGUUGUGAAGAUUGCCUAACUUGCGACAUAUGCCUUCAAUGCGAUUAUGUCUCUAAGUCGUGCCUCGACACAUGGGAGCUAUAGUCGCAUCGAGGGUGUUACAAGUUGGUAUCAGAGCCUUCCCCGACCUUAGGAGCCCCAUUGCUUGAUCGUUUUUAGCAGCCAAGUUGUGUCUAGAAAAAUGUUUUGAGUCAUUUAGGAAUUAUAUAUCGGAGAGCUUAGGAAUUCUUUUUACUCCCUAGUCUCCUCAUCGCUUUGGUAAGGCAUCAUGACGUAGAGUUUUGACUCUUCUCUUCUCAAAAUUCACUAAAAAAAAUUUGGAUCACGCGGGUUUCUUGGAAUCGUUCCGAUGGUUUUAUGACGAGAACAUUGUCUUGUUGCCUCCUGUCAGGGGUUUUGUGGAAGUGUCCUGGGGAGUUGAGCUCUGAGGUGUUGUCGUCAUAAUUUUAUCGUUGCAGUUCUGGAAUACCUGAGUUUAGUACGCCGACAUCGAAAAUCUCUUUUAUGCAGUUCGUUGGUGAGAUAACCUCGACGCCACCCAGUACUGGGGUGGGAGUUCGGGAGUAUCGCCAUAACUUGUAUAACGGAUGCUUUUCUAAGGUUGAGCUAGAUGAUUUCCGAAGGUUUCUUGGUUAUGUGUUGAAGGAUGGAUACAGCUGGAUGUAGGAUUUGCUAGUUUUGGGUGAGAUAUUAUGCUUCCCCUGUAUCCCCAACACCUGAUUGCAUAACCGGAAAGGUUCGGAAGUUUCAUAGGUGGGAAUUCAAGUAGCUCUUAGAAUUUCUUUCCAACAGAUGUAUGAUAUGAAAUUGGGGUUCGACGUCUAGUGGUCCGCCUAUUCAUGGUCGGUUUUACAGUGGUCUCGUUGUGUCUUAAAGAGUCCUUGGCUAUGCCGACUCGGGGAUGCUUCGUAUGUCAUGUGCACUGCCUUGUACAUGAUGGUGUUGUACGAUCGAGCCCGUGUAGGCCCCACCACGAAAACUUCGGAUGAAAUCUCUAUCAUAUGUUUGUUCCGGCUUAUUCCGCAAGCCAAUCCUUUGUUUUGUUUUGAGUUGUGGUAUUCGAGUUGCUUCAAUGUCAAAUGCUCAUUCCAUACCUUCCCUAAGCGGUGUUCUCAUACUCCGAUGUGAAUACCAAUCCUUCUCGAUCAUCGAGUUUGUCAUUUCAAUUUCUUUUCAACUGGCGUGUUUCUCGUCAAGUGGAUCCGAUCAUUGCAACAUCUGCAAGAUCAAUUAUCAGUUCUUCUCAACGGUGUUUACUUCAUCCGUUCCAAGUUUCCUUUAUUUUCCCACCCUCCCACCCUUUUUCUUCAAGGAUUCAGAUUUCUUAAUCAAGUAUCAUCUUAUUGAUGAGAAGCCUCUCCAUUCUUUUUCCGUCAAUGUUCUUAUCCGACUAUUCUCAUGAAGAUUCUAACGGAGCUUCAAGUUCGUCACUCUUCACUCGUUUUCUUCUCCAGUGGAUCCAAUUCAACCUUUGUUGGUCAUAGCCUUUUCCUCAUUUCAAUGCCUUCUCAUACCGGUGCACUUCAUAAUAUUUCACUUCUCGCUAUUCAUUCAAAGGCUCGUCUUGUCAUUCAAGAUCCUUUCAAGCUCUUUCGAGAUUGUUAUCUCAUUCAUGUCAUUUAAUUCAACCGGUGCAACCUCUCUUUUAAAUCUUUUCAACGGUGUUUCUUUUGAGUGGGCCCUAACCCAUAGGUCUUUUCCCAGGAUCUUACUUGACUUUUCUAAUUUUCCGAAGUUAUUCUCAAAUUCUUUUCUAAAGUUUGACGUAAGAGUGAAUUUUCAUCAGUUAUGUCUUUCUCCAAGAUCUUUCAAAUUCUUUUCAUCGUUGGUUCAACUUUUCCAUUCUUCUUCAUUACGGAGUGCUUUAACAAUUCUUCGUGGUGUGUCCCGUCGUAAUUCUCAGGAUCUGAAGACCGAAGAUGAGUUUUAAAUCCAUAUCUUAUCCGUUCUCUCAGAGAUUCGUGCUUCUAGUUCGAGACUAUCCUCUCAUAAUCGUUUUUGAUUGUCAGAACUCUUUUCACCCACCCGGAGCAUUUCAUGAGUUGUUUUCCAUUUAUUUCCUAGGAAGACCUUCUUUUCAAAUAUUAUUCAUUCUCAGCUUUCAACUAUCAUUCUCCAAAUUUUACUGGUGCAUCUAUCAAAUAUCCUCUAAUCAGUGCAUGAUCUCUUCGUUCUCUCAUAUAUAAUUUCUCUCAAGCAUCUUCAUUCAUUUGUUAAUUUUUCCCGGUGUUUAUUUAUCUUCUCUUCUUUCAUUUUCAAUCCUACCGGUGGUUAGUUGAAGACCUUCUCAAGUUGGCGCCGUAUCUAUCCUAAUCCUUUCUUCGAGAAUAAGUUGUAUGCAAUCCGUUUACUCGUCAUCAAUUUAAUUGGUGAAGGAUACGUAUAACAUAAUUCUUGUUCUUGUUUCAUCCAAGUGUUUAAUUCUUUUUACCGGAGUUUGUCCGUGACAUCAAUUUCUCAGUUAUAUGUUGUUCAUCUUCUUCCGGAGUUCCAAGUUUUCUACAUUAUCUCGUCGCGAAGCUCCAUCUAAAUUAUCGCAAGGCUUCACCUUGUGUUCUCAACUUCUCUUUCUUUUACCAUCCUUUAUUACCGGAGUUCUUCAUGGAGGCUCUACAUGGUGGUUCGUCAAGGAUUCUUUUCAUUCUUCAAUUGUUCUUCAAGUUUUCUCUCGAAGUUAUGAUCUGUCAAGCCAUACUUCAAAAUAAACAUGGUGCUCAACACAUGUUUUGUCUUGAGGAGUUCAAGCAUUCUUCAUCUUGCAUUCCGAGGUGCAAUUCUUUCUACCUUAUCUUUUGAGGUGGUGUUAUGUCAUUGUUGAUAAUUUCCCUUCGUGUUUCAUGAUUCACAAGUUUUCAAGAGUGGCAUAUCUAAAUCCAUCAUCUUCUCUUCUCUUAAGACAUCUUUUCAACCUAUCAAUCCCUCCAUUGGAGUUAUCUUGGUAAAGGUUUCACCUAAAGCCUUUCCUAAGGAAUGUUGCUAAUUAUGGUGCUUAUUAAUGAUCCAAGUUUCUCCUUCUCUUCUCGGUGAAAGAGUUUUCAUCUCCGUGUUUCUCUCAAGCAAUCAAUUGUUUUCCAUAGUGGCAUGUAUUCACCUCUAAGUUUUGAGUUGUUUCCAUAAGCCCACAACAAGCUUAUUCUUACCAUUGUUGUUUUUCAAACAACUCCGUUCAAUCCUACUUUGUAAGUAUGCUCUUUCAAAUUCAUUUAUGAUAGGAGAUGUUGGUUUCAUUCUUCGUUCUAUUCAUUCCAACUAUCUUCUAUUAUUUCUUCCAGAGGCAUUGUGAUGUUGCUCUCUUCGACCCAUCAUCUCAUUUUGCAAAUAUCAUGUUCUUUUCGUGCUUAUCCAUUUAACCGGAGUGUUAUGUCAUCUCUUCAAGUUCUUUCCAUCUUAUCAAGUUUUUCCUUCUCUUUUCUACCGGAGUGCUGUCCAAAUUAUAUCAUUCUUAUUCCUUCUCUAUCUUGUUUUAACCGGAGUGGUGUCAAUAUCUAUCUUGUCACUUAACCUCAUGGUUCUCAUUGUAUCCCAUGUUCUUCUUAUCUUACGGAGUGUUUGCAAUCUCGUCAUCUUCAUCGUAUUUUUUUCUUUCUUUCAAUUUUGUCAACCUCUCAAGGUUCGUUGGUUUCACUCUUUUGUCAAAGAAGCAACUUAGUUUUACCUCUUCUCUUUCUCUUCCGUUUUCCCUCCGGUGCCAUUCUAGAUCUCGGGACGAGAUCCUCUCGUAGUGGUGGAGUGUUGUAACGCCCCGAGACCGAUGUGCCAGGUGUCGUCCAGUUAUUUGCUGCCAUUGCCUUGUCAUGGCUUGCGUGUUGCAUUUCAUCAUGCCAUCAUGUGCAUUGCAUCAUCAUGUUUUCAAAACUUGCAUCCGUCCGGGUCUCCCCGUCCCUUCCGUUGUCCAUUCUGAGUCCAACCACACUUGCACGCGCCCACGGCACGUCCGAAAUAUUAUUUUAUAAGUGGCCGGAAAAUGUUCUCGGAAUGGGUUAAAGUUGGCGUGCGGUGUUGUUAUGUUGUUAGUAGGUCGCCCGCCAAGUUUCAUCACGUUCGGAGUUCGUUUGAUAGCCUAACCGUUAAACUAUAGCGGCAUUAUAGCUGGUAUUUACGCCGGACGUUUUCGGUCUCCGGAAACAGAUGCCGGGCCCUCUCUCUCUCUUCUCCCCCUCGCAGUCUCGCCACAGCCCACCUAGUCCAUCCUCCUUCCCCUCUUCGCUUCCGGAGUUGUCCGAUGCGACCGCACGGUCCGAAAGCCUCUCUGCAUAGUGCAUCGAACCCCUCACGUGAGCAUCCGAAAGUUGUCCCGGACCCGACCCGAGGUGUCGCCACCGUUGUGUCCGGAUCAUCCCCAAACAUCUACAAAACAUCACCGUUUUAUCAUUUGGACUUCCUAGCUAUUUUAUUCGCGAUCGUCCGAUUGCGAUCGGAGGGUCCUUUUAGCCCCUUACCAAAAUCCUUGCUAUAUAAACAGCCUAACCCUAAUUUCUAGGGGAGAUGUCCCAUCCAUCCUUCCCAUCCGCCGCCACCCGACCCACUCCCCUCUUUCCAUAUAUAUAUAGUCCAACCUCAUGCCUAUUUUGGACUAAACCUAGCACUAGCCCUCCAUUCCCGUGCAGCCGCCGCCACCCCUUGUUUUCCGUGCCUGGCCAGCCCACAGCCGCCACAUCGCACCACCAAAUCCCUAAUCAGAAAAUCCCCUCGUUCCCCACCUACCACAGCCAGAUGCCCGAUCCAAAAAUCCAGCCAGAUCGAUCCAUCCGCGUCUCCUCUCCUCCUCCUGUGCCUCGAUCCAGGGUGGAUCGAGAGCAGCGCCGCCCGGCCCCGACCACCGUGCCGCCAGCUCGCCGUCAGCAGCUCCAAGCUCCUCUAGGCCAGCCCCUUCACGCCCUGCCUUCUCUUCUUUAUCCCCCUGCUUCUCUCCCUAUCUAAUCUCUCUCUCUCUCUCUCUCUCUCUCUCUCUCUCUCUCUCUCUUACUCCUAGGGAACCAAACGAAGCUCCGUCGUGGAACGCUCUCUUCAUCGCCGGAGAUCCUCGAGCUGACCGGAGCCGUGGGCGAGCUCCUCCACCGUUUCCCCCUGCCUUUUUCCCUCGCAUCGCUAUUGAUUUCCCCCGUCCUGUCGUCGUUUUGUUGCACAGGAGAGCAGCCAUGGCCGUGGGCAACGAGCUCCUCCGCUCGCGUCCGUGACGUCGUCAGCCCGUGGGCCCCACCUCCUGUCGCGUCCGCCGUCUGCCUCCUUCCCCGCGCCAAGACCCGCUGCCGUCGCCCUCUGCUUCCCCUGCAUCGAGCAUGGAUCGAUCCGGUCAGGCGCGUUGACCGCGCCCGCAGCGCGUCGCUUCCGCGUGGCCUCGGGAGCGCCAAGUCCCGCAGCAGCCCGCAAGGCCCAGCCGGCCUGCCCCAGCGCCCUCUCCACGGUUCUGGGAUUGGCCCAUGGUGAGAGACCCCCAAGCCACACCCAGUGCUCCUGUCGGGCCAGCCAGAUUCGGCCCAUAUCAUGUUUUUUUCCAGCGUCUAUGAAUUUAUCUAUUAUCCAAUGAAUUACAGAAUUGCAGAAAACCCCCCAAGCAACAUGCAUAUAAUAUCUCACAAACGGUGCAUCACAUGUAAAAACUUAAUAUAUGAAACUUGCUCAGAAUUUUGUCUAGUUUAAUAAUAUGUCCUUUCAUCCAUGUUCAAAAUGUUUAAAAUGUUGUUUGCAUAUAUUUGCCCCUAUGUCUUGUUAAAAUGAUUUAUUUCAUAACUAAAUAACCGUAACUCGGAAUUUAAUAAACUUUAUAUGUAAAUGGGGUAGAAUUUUGCCUAGUUUAACAUGGUGGCUUCACUUUGCACGCUUAACAACUCAAAAAUUAUGUUUAGGGAAGAACAGUACCAAAUCUAUAAUAUGCUCAUGAGGAGUUUCCAGAAUUGUUGUUCGUUGCUUCCGGCCUCAUUUAGCCUUGACUAGAUAGGUAGUUUUCAUUUGCUUCACCUCUUGCAAUGCUAACAACAUUUAAUCUUGUUGGGUACAUAAACGAGAUCGAACUAAAUAAGUCACGUGGUGUCUCGUCAAUAUGCAACGGAGUUGCAUAUUGUGCUCCACUUAAUUUGUAGGGUUGCUUGUGCACUUUGCCAUGCCAUGUAUCAUUAAACCGGACAUGCAUCAUACUUGGUUGCGCAUCGUGCCAUGUUCAUGUCGUGGUUGUUUACUAUGUUGUGUGCUUCUUUUCCGGUGAUUGCUUCUUCGGGUUGGUUCCGGUAACGUCGUGUUGUGAGGAUUCGUUUGACUACGUCCGUUUGUCUUCUUCAUGGACUCGUUCUUCUUCCUUGCGGGAUUUCAGGCAAGAUGAUCAUACCCUCGAAAUCACUACUAUCUUUGCUAUGCUAGUUUUGCUCGCUCUUUUGCUAUGCCAAUGCUACGAUGCCUACCAUUUGCUUGUCAGCCUCCCAAAUUGCCAUGUUAAACCUCUAACCCACCUUGUCCUAGCAAACCGUUGAUUAGCUAUGUUACCGCUUUGCUCAGCCCCUCUUAUAGCGUUGUUAGUUGCAGGUGAAGAUUGAAGUUUGUUCCUUGUUGGAACAUGGAGAUGUUGUUCCUUGUUGGAACAUGUUUACUUGUUGGGAUAUCACAAUAUAUCUUAUUUAAUUAAUGCAUCUAUAUACUUGGUAAAGGGUGGAAGGCUCGGCCUUAUGCCUGGUGUUUUGUUCCACUCUUGCCGCCCUAGUUUCCGUCAUAUUGGUGUUAUGUUCCCAGAUUGUUGCGUUCCUUACGCGGUUGGGUUAUAAUGGGAACCCCUUGAUAGUUCGCCUUGAUUAAAACUUUUCCAGCAAUGCCCAACCUUGGUUUUACCAUUUGCCACCUAGCCUUUUCUUUCCCUUGGGUUCUGCAGACUCAAGGGUCAUCUUAUUUUAACCCCCCCCCCCCGGGCCAGUGCUCCUCUGAGUGUUGGUCCAAACCGUCAGCCGCCAGUGGUACCAGGGGCAACUCUGGGCUGGCCUACCGGAAGUUUAGACAAUCUGAGUGUGCCCUGAGAAAGAGAUAUGUGCAGCUCCUAUCGGGAUUUGUCGGCACAUUCGGGCGGUGUUGUUGGUCUUGUUUUAACCUGUCGAAGUGUCUUGAAUUACCGAGAUACCGAGUCUGAUCAGAAUGUCUUGGGAGGAGGUAUAUUCCUUCGUUGACCGUGAGAGCUUGUCAUGGGCUAAGUUGGGACUCCCCUGCAGGGAUUGAACUUUCGAAAGCCGUGCCCGCGGUUAUGGGCAGAUGGGAAUUUGUUAAUGUCCGGUUGUAGAUAACUUGAACCUUAAUUAAUUAAAAUGAAUCAACUGAGUGUGUUACCGUGAUGGCCUCUUCUCGGCGGAGUCCGGGAAGUGGACACGGUGUUGGAGUAAUGCUUGCGCAGGUUGUUCUCUAGUUUCUCGCUCGUGCUUUGCCUCCUCUUCUCGCCCUCCUUUGCGAAUAAGUUAGCCACCAUAUUUGCUAGUCGCUUGCUGCAGCUCCACUCAUAUUUUACCUUGCCUCACCUAUGAGCUUAAAUAGUCUUGAUCGCGAGGGUGCGAGAUUGCUGAGUCCCUGUGGCUCACAGAUUACUAUUACACCAGAUGCAGGGCCUGAUGAUUCCGCUCCAGGAGAUGCGUAUGAGCUCAAGUGGGAGUUCGAUGAAGACUCUCAAUGAUACUACGUUUCCUUUCCCGAUGAUCAGUAGUGGUGCCCAGUUGGGGGUGAUUGGGACCGUGUCGCAUGUUGGGUUCUCUUUUAUUUUUGGUGCCGUAGUCGGGCCAUGAGUGUUUGGAUGAUGUAAUGUUAUUUAUGUUCUUGAUUGACGUGGCGAGUGUAAGCCAACUAUGUUCUCCCCUUUAUUAUUCAUAUUACAUGGGAUGUUGUG